rnacentral:rRNA from 1 species
CGUCGCAAGCUUACCCUGUGAAGGCCUCAUAGUAAGCGAAAUGGUAUUACACCAGAACGUCAGGUCGAGGUGUAGCUCACGAGGUGGGAAGAAAUGGGCUACAUUUUCUAUGUUAGAAUAAUACGAAUUAUACUAUGAAAUAAGUAGUUGAAGGUGGAUUUAGUAGUAAAAAACAAACAGAGAGUCUUUUUGAAUUAGGCUCUGAGAUGCGUACACACCGCCCGUCACUCUCCCUAAUUUAAACAAUAUCAAAUGUAAAUAACCAAAAAAAUCAAAAUAACAGGGAGGCAAGUCGUAACAUGG